rnacentral:rRNA from 1 species
AUGUCUCGGUGCUUCCCAUUCCCGCCUCCCGGGUAUGAGGCAAAGCCCAGGAGUGAGCAUAAGGAUCUGCUAAAGAAGGAAAAUCACAAGGCAAAGAAGCACAAAAAGGAAAAGACGGAUGGGGGCAAAAGAGAAAGAAAAGAAAAGGAUCGUGGUUAUAGGAAAGAUAAGCACAAGAAGAAACACAAAAGAGAGAAGCACAAAGAUAGGAGAGAGAAGAAAGAAAGAGAUAAAGACAAAAGACAAAAUUUGGAACUGGGAACCCAGAAGAAGGAUGAUCUUGACAAUAGAAGACCCAAACAAAUAGUGCAUAAUGAAGCAGUCAAAUAUAGCAAACAUAAAGAAGAGUUGGCUACCCAAAUCACAGGCCAAGAAGGUCAUGCAAACCGCACCAGGAGUAAUACUGGCAAGUUGCUUCCUCGAAGCAUCGAGUCCUUUGGUGUUGUAGGUUCUAAAGAGAAGGAAAGAACUUCUAUCAGUAGAGUGAAUGGGAAAUCCGGGCAAAUUGCUCAGCACAAUCAUGCCAGUGAAAAGGGAAAGAAUAAAACUAGAAUCUUGAGUGGUACGAGCCUUCAACUUGGGUCAGCUGAAAAACGUUCUACCAGAAUACAUGGUAGUAGUGGAGUGGGCCUGCAACAGGAUAGCUCUAAAGGUAUAUUUGUUACUACCACAGCCUCUCAACAGAAGUGCAGAAUUACACCAAGUGCAAAUGCUGCGCAGAGAACUGAACAAGUGGACCAACAUCCAGAUGGUUCUUCUCAUUCUGCAUAUGGAAAAGGUGACAGCGUGAGCACCAAGUGGAUGGCAGAGAAUAAAAAAGGGAAUGCUGACAAUUUUCAUUUCGGGAUGGAUAAGCAAUCGGCAAGAGGCAAAAGUGGAGGAGAUCAAGGGAUUGCAAAGAUUAAGGAGGCAAAAGCUAAUCAUCAGAAGAGUGUUAAAGAUGGAGAUAAAAGGCAUGGUGUAAAUCAGAAGGUUGUUAAAGACAGAGAUAGAGAUUGCAAUGUAAAGAAAAGAAAGGCUAAAGAUGGUAAUGAAGGCAAAACCAGGGAGAAAAGAAGUGCUAUAGAUGAGCAGAAACACAGAGAGCUUGAUGGAGAUGGGGCAAGCAAGAACUAUAUUCAUGAUCUAAUGGACUUGGCUCAUCUUAAUGGGAACAAGUUCACUUCUGAUGAUGUCAAGAAAAGGAAAGGCUUAAACGCUAACAGUUCUCUACAUGAUCAUCAUAGUAUGCCAAUGGCUAAGAUGCCAAGGACGUCUCCUGCCAAUCAUCUUUGUGUGAAUGGGGAAAUGUUGAAGCAUUCUCAGCGAACUGCACCUACAUUACUAGUGGGCACAAACCCUUGUGAGGCAGGCAUACUUGAAGAUAGCAAGGAAUGCAUCAAAAAUGGCAUGACCGGCCUCCUCUACCUAGAGGAACACAAUUCUGCAGUCUGUCCAUCCAGCUAUGGCAGCAGUGAAGUCUCUCUGAAACCAGCUCACCCUGAUACCAAGUAUCUGAGCCAGCUGUACUCCGUACCAGCGGCCGAUGACCGCUCAGAGUAUAUUGAUCAAGACUGGCUGUUUCCGGGAGACCGUGUUCACCAGAAAACAACGAUGCUUGAGGCCGCAGAAGCACCCCAGGUCUGGGCUGAAGCACAGCUGAUCGAUUCUGCUGGUGUAGUUGCUCUGCCUUAUGUUGUUCCUUUGUAA